rnacentral:rRNA from 1 species
UACGUAGGGUGCGAGCGUUGUCCGGAAUUAUUGGGCGUAAAGAGCUUGUAGGCGGUUUGUCGCGUCUGCUGUGAAAGUCCGGGGCUCAACUCCGGAUCUGCCGUGCCGACUGUCAAACUCGAGGGCUGUAGAGGCAGACGGAAUUCCGGGUGUAGCGGUGGAAUGCGUAGAGAUCCGGAGGAAGACCGGUGGCGAAGGCGGUCUGCUGGGCAGUUUCUGACACUGAGGCGCGACAGCGUGGGGAGCAAACAGG